UACGUAGGGUGCGAGCGUUGUCCGGAAUUAUUGGGCGUAAAGAGCUUGUAGGCGGUCUGUCGCGUCUGCUGUGAAAAUCCGGGGCUCAACCCCGGACUUGCAGUGGGUACGGGCAGACUAGAGUGUGGUAGGGGAGACUGGAAUUCCUGGUGUAGCGGUGAAAUGCGCAGAUAUCAGGAGGAACACCGAUGGCGAAGGCGGCCAGCUGGGCCUGUUCUGACGCUGAGGCGCGAAAGCUAGGGGAGCGAACAGG
rnacentral:rRNA from 1 species